rnacentral:tRNA from 1 species
GACAUUGAACGAGUAGUAGCUUAACGCGUCAGUCUCAUAAUCUGAAGGUCGUGAGUUCGAGUCUCACCUGGGGCA